CAAUUGGAUCGGUCCAACCGGC
rnacentral:miRNA from 1 species